GUAGGAGUCGGAACAGGCAACAGCCGACGGGACGUGGGCCUUCAUCCACCGCAGCGUUAGACAACAGAGAAAUAACGCUGUCAUCAGAUGUGCAGGUGUAUUGCUGAUGCGUAUCACUUACUGUGGAGAUUCUGUGAGCUGCUUAAUUGGGUCUGCCACAAUGCCCCCAAGGAACAGGGCAACCUCAGCAGAUUUCUGGACUCACCCUGAAGUCAAGAUGUGUAACACCUUUCUUUCAGUUUCUUCUUCCAGAGAAGAAAAUGGAAAAGCUAGGGCUAGUAUUAUUUUUAUUUAUUUAUUCAUUUUUAGAAGAGAGCUAUAAAUGAUUAGUUCAUUAUUUAGAGAUAAAACACAUGUAUGCUACUCUCAGGCUACAGGCUCAAAAUAAAGGAAAACUGUGUUAAGAACUGUUUGCUGUUUCCUAAA